UUGAGCGAUUUACUUCGGUAAAGAGCGGCGGACGGGUGAGUAACGCGUGGGUAACCUACCCUGUACACACGGAUAACAUACCGAAAGGUAUGCUAAUACGGGAUAAUAUAUUUGAGAGGCAUCUCUUGAAUAUCAAAGGUGAGCCAGUACAGGAUGGACCCGCGUCUGAUUAGCUAGUGGGUAAGGUAACGGCUUACCAAGGCGACGAUCAGUAGCCGACCUGAGAGGGUGAUCGGCCACAGUGGAACUGAGACACGGUCCAAACUCCUACGGGAGGCAGCAGGGGGGAAUAUUGCACAAUGGGCGAAAGCCUGAUGCAGCAACGCCGCGUGAGUGAUGAAGGCCUUCGGGUCGUAAAACUCUGUCCUC
rnacentral:rRNA from 1 species